UACGUAGGGUGCGAGCGUUAAUCGGAAUUACUGGGCGUAAAGCGUGCGCAGGCGGUUUUGUAAGCCAGAUGUGAAAUCCCCGGGCUUAACCUGGGAAUGGCAUUUGGGACUGCAAGGCUGGAGUUUGGCAGAGGAGACUGGAAUUCCUGGUGUAGCAGUGAAAUGCGUAGAUAGCAGGAGGAAUACCGAUGGCGAAGGCAGGUCUCUGGGCUAUAACUGACGCUCAUGCACGAAAGCGUGGGGAGCAAACAGG
rnacentral:rRNA from 1 species